rnacentral:rRNA from 1 species
CUCUUUUAGAGAUGAGUGGCGAACGGGUGAGUAAUACAUAGGUAACCUGCCCCUGUGCGGGGGAUAACAGGAGGAAACUCCUGCUAAUACCGCAUAGCCAUGAGCACCGCAUGGAGCUCAUGCCAAAUAUCCUUUAUGGGAUAGCGCAGGGAUGGACCUAUGGCGCAUUAGCUGGUUGGCGGGGCAACGGCCCACCAAGGCAACGAUGCGUAGCCGGCCUGAGAGGGCGGACGGCCACAUUGGGACUGUGACACGGCCCAGACUCCUACGGGAGGCAGCAGUAGGGAAUUUUCGGCAAUGGGGGAAACCCUGACCGAGCAACGCCGCGUGAGCGAAGAAGGCCUUCGGGUCGUAAAGCUCUGUUGUAAAGGAAGAACGGCGCAUACAGGAAAUGGUAUGCGAGUGACGGUACUUUACCAGAAAGCCACGGCUAACUACGUGCCAGCAGCCGCGGUAAUACGUAGGUGGCGAGCGUUAUCCGGAAUCAUUGGGCGUAAAGAGGGAGCAGGCGGCCGCAAGGGUCUGUGGUGAAAGCCCGAAGCUAAACUUCGGUAAGCCAUGGAAACCGGGCGGCUAGAGUGCGGAAGAGGAUCGUGGAAUUCCAUGUGUAGCGGUGAAAUGCGUAGAUAUAUGGAGGAACACCAGUGGCGAAGGCGACGGUCUGGGCCGCAACUGACGCUCAUUCCCGAAAGCGUGGGGAGCAAAUAGGAUUAGAUACCCUAGUAGUCCACGCCGUAAACGAUGGUCACUAAGUGUCGGGGGUCAAACCCCGGUGCUGCAGUCAACGCAAUAAGUGACCCGCCUGAGUAGUACGUUCGCAAGAAUGAAACUCAAAGGAAUUGACGGAAG